UCAGGAUCAACUCAAUGGCAACAACAACAGAUUCUAAUGUGCUCAUAUUAAGAUUCCCAGCAGGACACCUUAAAUCAUUUUUGGCAAAAGGGCCGUCAUGGAACUUCCAUUCUCACAGUGAAGAUAUACCUACAGUGAUUACAACAAUGAUGUGGAUCUUAGAAAUGCUGUGGAUGGAGAAAAAGGAAAUAAGCUCCCAAGGAGAAGCGACUAAAAGAUGUCAGCAACUCUUUUUCUCAGACAGGAGUGCACAGCAGGGAGUUCUUUUUCUAUGCCUGUACCUGGCCAGGCAACUGCAUUAUACUUGAUGGAUACAUUUCGGACUCAUUAUUUCCUCUUUGGAACACUGGACUUUUUAUUCAUAUUGAAGGGCUCACAAUGGGCAAAGGUUAGAAAACAGGAAGGCUACUAGUAAUUGAAUGUUCCAUUUAGAACAUAGGCAGGUCAUAGGGGCUGAACAGCGGAAACAGACUUUCAUGCUGAGUCAACUUCCACAACCCAGGUGAAGUUACUGCUGAGGGAUUUCUGAUCAGAUGAAACUAUUGGAGCUUUAGCUUUUAAAAGAUGCUGUUUCCAUUACAGUAAUGAUGAAUGUCUGAGAGAGUGAUGUCUGCAUAAAACGGAAAGAGCAAAUAGCAACAAAAGUCGUCAAGCCACUGUGGGUGCUUUAUGACACAGGCAGGACUGCUGGGCUGGGAUGUCCCAACUCCAAAUACAAACACUGAACAAGCAAAGAGCAGCCAGCAAAAACACACUGUGAACCUUCUUAUUACACAGAAAGAUACUAUAAGUUAAUUUCAAGGACGAAUACAACAUAGAAAAAGGAAUAGAAAUUUUAGUAUAUAUAGGCUCUCUGGAAUUGAGUAUAUAUUUCUGGGCUUUUAAAGUUUCCAAAUGUCCUUUUUCUACUUAUUCAAGGAUUUAAACCACAGAAACAUGAACGUGGCUAUUUUUGGUGGUGCUAAAUGAAAGGAUAUGUAAAUUGCAGUAAAAUCUUUUUACUUACAGUAAUGUAACAGUUCAAAAGUCCUAAUAAAAACAUAUUGUAUUUGCUCA
rnacentral:lncRNA from 1 species